GAUGAACGCUGGCGGCGUGUCUAAUACAUGCAAGUCGAGCGAACGGACGAGAAGCUUGCUUCUCUGAUGUUAGCGGCGGACGGGUGAGUAACACGUGGAUAACCUACCUAUAAGACUGGGAUAACUUCGGGAAACCGGAGCUAAUACCGGAUAAUAUUUUGAACCGCAUGGUUCAAAAGUGAAAGACGGUCUUGCUGUCACUUAUAGAUGGAUCCGCGCUGCAUUAGCUAGUUGGUAAGGUAACGGCUUACCAAGGCAACGAUGCAUAGCCGACCUGAGAGGGUGAUCGGCCACACUGGAACUGAGACACGGUCCAGACUCCUACGGGAGGCAGCAGUAGGGAACCUUCCGCAAUGGGCGAAAGCCUGACGGAGCAACGCCGCGUGAGUGAUGAAGGUCUUCGGAUCGUAAAACUCUGUUAUUAGGGAAGAACAUAUGUGUAAGUAACUGUGCACAUCUUGACGGUACCUAAUCAGAAAGCCACGGCUAACUACGUG
rnacentral:rRNA from 1 species